rnacentral:rRNA from 1 species
UACAGAGGUCUCAAGCGUUGUUCGGAUUCAUUGGGCGUAAAGGGUGUGUAGGUGGCGCGCUAAGUCGGGUGUGAAAUUUCGGAGCUUAACUCCGAAACUGCAUUCGAUACUGGCGUGCUUGAGGACUGGAGAGGAGACUGGAAUUCAUGGUGUAGCAGUGAAAUGCGUAGAGAUGCGGAGGAACACCGAUGGCGAAGGCAGCCCCCUGGGCUAGCACUGACGCUCAGGCACGAAAGCGUGGGGAGCAAACAGG